UUUUAUUUGGACACGAAGAAGGAAAAGUUCAAUAGCCUCGCUGUUUUACAAAAAAAAACCCAUGAAAGCACUGCGGAGCGGACAGCCCAUGGCCAGCCCUACCGCAUCCUUCACUCCUUCGUCCCCAUCUGUUUCUCGAUCUCCCUCCUCUCUCCCUCCUUACCGCCGCUGCAGCCGCGCGCCUCCAUGCCCUCUCCUCCGUGCACCACCUCCAUGCCUCUCCCCUUUUUGCUUUGUCCUCGGUAUUAGCAGACCUUCUUCGCACGACGACUCGAUGAGGAGAGGGGAGAAAUCGAAGAGGAGGAGCCAUCCACGGAUACCACUCCCGAGGAACUCGCGCAUUCUUUGGAUCUAGGCGCCCACCGGAUAAAUCCAGCCUAUAUGACCAUUGUCCGCUGGUCUCCAGAAGGUACUCCCUAACACGAUGCUCGUGAUGCGCAGGCGGCGAGCUCCUGCAAGUAAGUGGGUAUGAGAUCGAGCUCCUUGAUUCGCCUUGUUCUAGAUUUCUGUUUUAUGUGUACGCUGGGAUCUGUGGCAGCUAGAUAUAAUUAGCGAUUUCCAUAUAUGAUGACAUAAUAUUUUGCAAUUUAUUUCACGCUGCUUCCUCUUUGGUUUGUUGUUGUUCUGGAUGGGGUCUCGUGCGUGCUCUUGAAUGGCACCUUGCAGAUUCAUCGUCGGGCGCCGGUGACAAACCUACGGAUGACGGGCAAGAAGACGUGCGACCGUACCAGUGAUUUUCAAGGUGCAACGGGCUUCAGCUUUCCUGUCCCCUAGCUGCUCCCACAAGCUGGUUGCUGUUGUGGUGCUUAGUUCCUUCUUCCUGAAAUAUGAAUUGCUUCUACGUGUUGGGGAGAUAAUAUGAACUGCAAAAUUAGUUUCAGAUUUAGUGAAUUUGUGCACCUAUGGAUGGCUAACUGCUUUAUUUAAAUUUUAGUAUAAUCAGACGAUGUGACUGAGUUGCUACUUGUAUCCAAAUUGCUUGCAAAUAUACUGUCAAUUAUCUUCUUUAGGUUGGGGUACUUGCUGAUCUGGAAAAGGCAUUAUGAUGGAUCAUAUGUUUGCAAUCCCUGUGAUAAUGGUGUUUAUUGAAGUUCUCUUUAUUUCAGAACUAGAUAGGUGGCGAUUUAAACUUCUCUGCUAUGUACUGUGCUGCAAGAGUGUGUGGCUUGGUGUAUUGUGCCUUCCCAAUGAGAGAUGGUGCUCUCUGAUGGUCAUCUUAAGACACUUUUCCAUGUAAAAAUGCUGACAAGUCAUGACCCUAGAAGUAUGGAAAUAGAACAUCGCUUUGUCUCAAAAACCAACAGACAUUGGAAAGUCCAUUUGUCAAGGCACUCAAUAUGAAGAAAAGCAUUACCAAGAACUGAAGGGGAGAAACACACCCUAAAGAACAUCAGGCUAUUUAUGGUGGUUGCCCAUGCCAAUAAUUUUGCAGAAACAGUAAUUUCUCUACCAAGGAAUUUUUUUUGUGCUUCAAUUGUUGCUCCGGUAUGUCAAACAACUUCUAGGUCAGGCUCAACAUGUCCAGUCUUUUGGUUAAAAAGUUUUGUGACUGCUUAACCCUCACCUUCCUAUAUUCAUAUUCGUGGAGAUGCUCUGUUUGCCAAUAUGUGUGAAGGUGUCAGGAGAGAUGAUUAGAGAUUCAGAUACUAAAGAUGUCAACUUUAACUAAAAUAUAGGUAGUUCCUCUUACAUUGAUUCAUUACUGUUACCAUUUAUUUGACAAUACAUAUAGUGCAGUGGCUGGAAAGGAACAGACUUGACUGUUGAACGAAGAGCUUGCUGCUACAUCCAACAAGAUCAAUCAAAUGAACAGAAAUACAGAUGUGUGCAUAGACAAUGCUGCUACCCAAGUGACAAAUAACAACCCUCUUAUAGAUACAAUAAUCAUAACUAUAGAUGCUGACCCAACGAUGAUAGUUAGAAACCGUGAAGGGCUAUAUGUACCAGUGUUUGCUUAUAAAGCAUUGUGUUCUUCACGACGUUGUAGGGCACCCAACGGGUGCAUAAUGUUAAAAGUUACUAUAGUUAUGGUUUUAUCACUCUCUGAGUGUACUUUUGUGAUCUCUUAUGUUUUGCUCA